UUGUUGGUAAGGUAAAGGCUUACCAAGGCUUCGAUCAGUAGCUGGUCUGAGAGGACGGCCAGCCACACUGGGACUGAGACACGGCCCAGACUCCUACGGGAGGCAGCAGUGGGGAAUUUUGGACAAUGGGGGAAACCCUGAUCCAGCCAUGCCGCGUGAGUGAAGAAGGCCUUCGGGUUGUAAAGCUCUUUCAGCCGGAACGAAACGGUUACGGAUAAUACCCGUGACUACUGACGGUACCGGAAGAAGAAGCACCGGCUAACUACGUGCCAGCAGCCGCGGUAAUACGUAGGGUGCGAGCGUUAAUCGGAAUUACUGGGCGUAAAGCGUGCGCAGGUGGUUUUGUAAGUCAGAUGUGAAAGCCCCGGGCUCAACCUGGGAACUGCGUUUGAAACUACAAGACUAGAGUGUGGCAGAGGGGGGUGGAAUUCCGCGUGUAGCAGUGAAAUGCGUAGAGAUGUGGAGGAACAUCGAUGGCGAAGGCAGCCCCCUGGGUUAACACUGACACUCAGGCACGAAAGCAUGGGGAGCAAACAGGAUUAGAUACCCUGGUAGUCCAUGCCCUAAACGAUGUCAACUAGUUGUCGGGCCUUUACGGGCUUGGUAACGUAGCUAACGCGUGAAGUUGACCGCCUGGGGAGUACGAUCGCAAGAUUAAAACUCAAAUGAAUUGACGGGGACCCGCACAAGCGGUGGAUUAUGUGGAUUAAUUCGAUGCAACGCGAAAAACCUUACCUACCCUUGACAUGUAUCGAAGCCCGCAGAAAAGCGGGGGUGCCCGAAAGGGAACGAUAACACAGGUGCUGCAUGGCUGUCGUCAGCUCGUGUCGUGAGAUGUUGGGUUAAGUUCCGCAACGAGCGCAACCCUUGUCAUUAAUUGCCAUCAUUUAGUUGGGCACUUUAAUGAGACUGCCGG
rnacentral:rRNA from 1 species